AUAUCAAAAUAGGGUAACAGUAUUCUAGUCAGUAUCGACAGUUCCCAAGGCGGGCCUAAAAAUUCGCCGAAGGGCAUAUCGAUGAAGUUCCUGGUGGAUGCUUUCGAUGCCAGUCGGGGGUGUGUGCUGGGAGUUAAGGCUUAGGGGCGACCUGCAAUGGCAUGCGGGCGUUGACCCCUUUUCCGUGGAGACCUAUAUCCGUGCUUUGCAAAAAUCUUGUUAUGCUACGGUGUUGCCUUGUACGGAGUAGGAUGAAACCUGUUUUGCGGUGCAGUAAAACCGUGCUGUGGACAGCGUAGCCUGACUUGAGUGGAUAUGGUGGAUAGCGGAUCAGAUACUGAUUUUUUGGCCAAAAAGUCGGUAUUAUUGCUGCUUGAAACCAUAUUUGCAAAAGAGUCUAAGAACUGUAUGAUAUUGCGGAGGAAAACUCCUAGACUGGUCGAAAGAGGCAUAUAUAGGAUUAGGGUGUGUACUAAGUGGCAAUCAGGUAAUCCGAUAUGGCAACUGCGGAUGGCGCCGUUUAAUCGGGAACGGCCGUUUUGGCGACAAUUCGGUACGGCUUCGGGAAAUCCAACCUGACCUAAGACACAAAAUUUACUAUAUAUGCUACCCUUAUUU
rnacentral:sRNA from 1 species